rnacentral:misc_RNA from 1 species
AAUUAAAAAAUAAAAACAUCACAGAGAGUAGAGGAAAAUAUAUAGA